rnacentral:rRNA from 1 species
ACCUCGAUGUCGGCUCAUCACAUCCUGGGGCUGAAGUAGGUCCCAAGGGUAUGGCUGUUCGCCAUUUAAAGUGGUACGCGAGCUGGGUUUAGAACGUCGUGAGACAGUUCGGUCCCUAUCUGCCGUGGGCGCUGGAGAAUUGAGGGGGGCUGCUCCUAGUACGAGAGGACCGGAGUGGACGCAUCACUGGUGUUCGGGUUGUCAUGCCAAUGGCACUGCCCGGUAGCUAAAUGCGGAAGAGAUAAGUGCUGAAAGCAUCUAAGCACGAAACUUGCCCCGAGAUGAGUUCUCCCUGAGACUAUAAGUCUCCUGAAGGAACGUUAAAGACGAUGACGUUGAUAGGCCGGGUGUGUAAGCGCAGCGAUGCGUUGAGCUAACCGGUACUAAUGAACCGUGAGGCUUAACCUUACAACGCCGAAG